GGUUCCGUAGCUCAACUGGAUAGAGCAACUGCCUUCUAAGCAGUAGGUUCCGGGUUCGAGUCCCGGCGGAAUCA
rnacentral:tRNA from 1 species